GAGGAAUAUUGGUCAAUGGACGGAAGUCUGAACCAGCCAAGUAGCGUGCAGGAUGACGGCCCUAUGGGUUGUAAACUGCUUUUGUAUGGGGAUAAAGUUAGGGACGUGUCCCUAUUUGCAGGUACCAUACGAAUAAGGACCGGCUAAUUCCGUGCCAGCAGCCGCGGUAAUACGUAGGUGGCAAGCGUUGUCCGGAAUUAUUGGGCGUAAAGCGCGCGCAGGCGGAUUGGUCAGUCUGUCUUAAAAGUUCGGGGCUUAACCCCGUGAUGGGAUGGAAACUGCCAAUCUAGAGUAUCGGAGAGGAAAGUGGAAUUCCUAGUGUAGCGGUGAAAUGCGUAGAUAUUAGGAAGAACACCAGUGGCGAAGGCGACUUUCUGGACGAAAACUGACGCUGAGGCGCGAAAGCCAGGGGAGCGAACGGGAUUAGAUACCCCGGUAGUCCUGGCCGUAAACGAUGGGUACUAGGUGUAGGAGGUAUCGACCCCUUCUGUGCCGGAGUUAACGCAAUAAGUACCCCGCCUGGGGAGUACGACCGCAAGGUUG
rnacentral:rRNA from 1 species